rnacentral:misc_RNA from 1 species
AGACUCAAAGGGAACUUUGAUAUGAUUUCGUAGUACCUUUGGAAUGUUUCAUCGCCGAGUUCUAAAACACUUGGUCAGAUCUUACGUGCAUGUUUGUUGAGCUUGUAUCCAUGUGAAGUCUCAAGCAGCAGACAGUAAAUUACUGAGUUUGUGGAAAGACAUCAUGCAUAAGAUAAACAAAUUAUAUCAAAAUUG